rnacentral:rRNA from 1 species
UACCUCGGGGGACCGAACAAGGAGACGCACAUGACGUCGGCGUCGAAGAUGUUGAGCGUCCGCAAGCCCCCGGUAGUCUUGCACGUGUUCCUUCUCGCGACGGCCCUUUACUAGUCACUACAAAAGAGAUAUCCUUAUCACGUCUACCUUCGCCGCUAAGCCACGAGCUCGGGUCUACGAGGGCUUUAGAAGCAGCAGGCGAGCAAUGAGCCCUACGCUUGUUUAGGACGACCGCGUAGACGACGCCUUGCCCCUUUUUUCCAACAUAAGCUAUAUGUCGUCCUUUGUCACCUCGAAAACACCCGGGUCUAGCAUGCGCCCCUUUCCGGGCAAAGCGAACGGUCAAUACACCAGGCACCUGGUCCUGCAAACCAAACGUGGCUCGGUGCCUAGUCUUUUAGGAACGAACUACGGCACCUGUCCAAUCAAGGGCCCCCUAGAUUAUACAAAGAACCCCAUUCGUCACAGUCACCCGUGCGGCCCUCUUUAUUCGAUUGCGACCGGUACUGGCCGCGACCAACGGUGAACUUUAGUCCAAGGGCGAGGCCCUCCUCAAGCAGCUAUCGAACCUAGUGUGUCUAGGCCACGGAGACCGGAAAGACGACCUCUCGAACCGGUUGCCACCUCAGGGCCCCCUGAGUUUGUUACCCAGACCAACGCCCGUCGUCUAGCCGUCGCGACAGGGCCUCUCUCGUGUGCCCCACCACACGGCAGCAGGCCUACGAAGAGGAUGAAUCAGCCGCGUCAGUUGACUGUCUUAGUUGGCCGUUCGGGGGCGACCUGCUUUUCCCCUUUGCUCUCCGUCUCUUAUCAUCCAGUACGGUGAUACUCACAGGACGUAAAUAUUCCGACGACGCGUGCUGGGUGUUGUCGACCCAAAUACAACCGUAGGCACGGAAACUAAAACGCUACUGACGUUCCCUAGGGUUUUUGGAACAUAUGUAGGAGUCGGGUCUUGAACUCCUGGAACUAUUUUAAUUGGACCUCCUGGACCACAUAUAGAAGAAACUAAACAAUUUACGGUUGUUUUUCCAUCAUCAGCGGGAGAGCGGGCUCGGCGAGAGCGCCCGCCGUCCCGCUUUUGGAUCGGCAGCGGGCUCGAGGGGGAGGGGCGGAGAGGGGGAGGGGCGGCGGCGGCUUCCCGCGGUGGCCCGCUUCGGGCCGACCGCAGCCACCGCCGCCCCAAGGGGAGGGUGGAGGGAACCCCGGGACACCGCGCUCUGUGUACCCAGUCCGCUCCACGCGCCGCGACCGCGUCCCGCCGCGCCGCCGCCUACGCGCAGUGUCGCGCCGCCGCUGACGCACCUCGACCACCGCCCCGCACGACCGAACCCCCGCCGCCCCGUCGUCACCGACGCAGAACAAGGGUACCUGACAACCACACCUUCGUCUAACUUACGGCUCUCCUGUUUCAGUUACGUCCUCUAGCAAACACCGACGGGCUCGUAGUACUCUUAGUGUCGGUUCGUGUAUCUACACAUGUGCUUACUAGACUAUGUCGAUCUACUUCACCGCGUCCUACUACCGCUCCACUCGUGACAUUUGAGUCUCGUCCGUUGCAAGCGGAAACCAAAAUACGCUAACGAGGUACCACUAUUCACAAGGUCCCACUUCAACAGGAGUACCUACCGUUUCCGCCUUGCUCGACGUUCGUCCUUCACCCGCACCUGAGUCCAACGCCAAGAAAACCUUCUUCCAAAGCCGCUAAAGGGUUGGAGGCCGUACGUCGAUUGGUUGGUUCUGCCGAGUCGGCCCAUGUCCUUUAGUUGACUCGGCACGUGCCCAGUAGACAAGGUCGACUUCCACUGCCACCGGCAUCGUUAAUUACGUGCGUCCUUGUCCGGUAUAAACUCACGUUAUGUUACCGAUAUGGACUGCGUUUAUGUCAGUGUACGUGUCUAGGUCUACCAUCGCUUACCACGACUAAAGUCCAAGUCGACU